GCCUGGGUGGCUCAGUCAGUUGAGCAUCUGACUUCAUCUCAGCUCAUGAUCUCGCAGUUCGUGGGUUCGAGCCCCGUGUUAGGCU
rnacentral:tRNA from 1 species